GCUGAAAAAGUCAUCACAGCACAGCAAGUAAUGGAAACUCAGCAGCAUCCAGCCUGCAGAUGAGUUUCAGGUCUGCCUAUGCCCCGGUGACAGUUCCAUAACCAGCCCUAAGGCCUCCAGCAGUGGAUUCUCCCAGGCCUCCCUCCAGAGUGAGCCCCAGUCUAAAGGAAUGUAAAAAAAAUUGCAUCUGAGCUUUCAAGUAACAAGUUGCACACAGGGGACUUGCUGUGAAGAGCUGUUGAAAUGUAAGGUGCUAAGACUUAUAACAAGGUAACC
rnacentral:lncRNA from 1 species